UUAAGCGACUAAGCGUACACGGUGGAUGCCCUGGCAGUCAGAGGCGAUGAAGGACGUGCUAAUCUGCGAUAAGCGUCGGUAAGGUGAUAUGAACCGUUAUAACCGGCGAUUUCCGAAUGGGGAAACCCAGUGUGAUUCGUCACACUAUCAUUACGUGAAUACAUAGCGUAAUGAAGCGAACCGGGGGAACUGAAACAUCUAAGUACCCCGAGGAAAAGAAAUCAACCGAGAUUCCCCCAGUAGCGGCGAGCGAACGGGGAGCAGCCCAGAGUCUGAAUCAGCUUGUGUGUUAGUGGAACGGUCUGGAAAGUCCGACGGUACAGGGUGAUAGUCCCGUACACCAAAAUGCACAGGUUGUGAACUCGAAGAGUAGGGCGGGACACGUGGUAUCCUGUCUGAAUAUGGGGGGACCAUCCUCCAAGGCUAAAUACUCCUGACUGACCGAUAGUGAACCAGUACCGUGAGGGAAAGGCGAAAAGAACCCCGGCGAGGGGAGUGAAAAAGAACCUGAAACCGUGUACGUACAAGCAGUGGGAGCCUCUUUAUGGGGUGACUGCGUACCUUUUGUAUAAUGGGUCAGCGACUUAUAUUCUGUAGCAAGGUUAACCGUAUAGGGGAGCCGAAGGGAAACCGAGUCUUAACUGGGCGUUAAGUUGCAGGGUAUAGACCCGAAACCCGGUGAUCUAGCCAUGGGCAGGUUGAAGGUUGGGUAACACUAACUGGAGGACCGAACCGACUAAUGUUGAAAAAUUAGCGGAUGACUUGUGGCUGGGGGUGAAAGGCCAAUCAAACCGGGAGAUAGCUGGUUCUCCCCGAAAGCUAUUUAGGUAGCGCCUCGUGAAUUCAUCUUCGGGGGUAGAGCACUGUUUCGGCUAGGGGGUCAUCCCGACUUACCAACCCGAUGCAAACUGCGAAUACCGAAGAAUGUUAUCACGGGAGACACACGGCGGGUGCUAACGUCCGUCGUGAAGAGGGAAACAACCCAGACCGCCAGCUAAGGUCCCAAAGUCAUGGUUAAGUGGGAAACGAUGUGGGAAGGCACAGACAGCCAGGAUGUUGGCUUAGAAGCAGCCAUCAUUUAAAGAAAGCGUAAUAGCUCACUGGUCGAGUCGGCCUGCGCGGAAGAUGUAACGGGGCUAAACCAUGCACCGAAGCUGCGGCAGCGACACUAUGUGUUGUUGGGUAGGGGAGCGUUCUGUAAGCCGUUGAAGGUGUACUGUGAGGUAUGCUGGAGGUAUCAGAAGUGCGAAUGCUGACAUAAGUAACGAUAAUGCGGGUGAAAAACCCGCACGCCGGAAGACCAAGGGUUCCUGUCCAACGUUAAUCGGGGCAGGGUGAGUCGACCCCUAAGGCGAGGCCGAAAGGCGUAGUCGAUGGGAAACAGGUUAAUAUUCCUGUACUUGGUGUUACUGCGAAGGGGGGACGGAGAAGGCUAUGUUAGCCGGGCGACGGUUGUCCCGGUUUAAGCAUGUAGGCGGAGGUUCCAGGUAAAUCCGGUACCUUUUAACGCUGAGGUGUGAUGACGAGGCACUACGGUGCUGAAGUAACAAAUGCCCUGCUUCCAGGAAAAGCCUCUAAGCAUCAGGUAACACGAAAUCGUACCCCAAACCGACACAGGUGGUCAGGUAGAGAAUACCAAGGCGCUUGAGAGAACUCGGGUGAAGGAACUAGGCAAAAUGGUGCCGUAACUUCGGGAGAAGGCACGCUGAUAUGUAGGUGAAGUGAUUUACUCAUGGAGCUGAAAUCAGUCGAAGAUACCAGCUGGCUGCAACUGUUUAUUAAAAACACAGCACUGUGCAAACACGAAAGUGGACGUAUACGGUGUGACGCCUGCCCGGUGCCGGAAGGUUAAUUGAUGGGGUUAUCCGUAAGGAGAAGCUCUUGAUCGAAGCCCCGGUAAACGGCGGCCGUAACUAUAACGGUCCUAAGGUAGCGAAAUUCCUUGUCGGGUAAGUUCCGACCUGCACGAAUGGCGUAAUGAUGGCCAGGCUGUCUCCACCCGAGACUCAGUGAAAUUGAACUCGCUGUGAAGAUGCAGUGUACCCGCGGCAAGACGGAAAGACCCCGUGAACCUUUACUAUAGCUUGACACUGAACACUGGUCCUUGAUGUGUAGGAUAGGUGGGAGGCUUUGAAGUGUGGACGCCAGUCUGCAUGGAGCCAUCCUUGAAAUACCACCCUUUAAUGGCUGGUGUUCUAACGUGGACCCGUAAUCCGGGUUGCGGACAGUGUCUGGUGGGUAGUUUGACUGGGGCGGUCUCCUCCUAAAGAGUAACGGAGGAGCACGAAGGUUAGCUAAUCCUGGUCGGACAUCAGGAGGUUAGUGCAAAGGCAUAAGCUAGCUUGACUGCGAGAGUGACGGCUCGAGCAGGUGCGAAAGCAGGUCUUAGUGAUCCGGUGGUUCUGAAUGGAAGGGCCAUCGCUCAACGGAUAAAAGGUACUCCGGGGAUAACAGGCUGAUACCGCCCAAGAGUUCAUAUCGACGGCGGUGUUUGGCACCUCGAUGUCGGCUCAUCACAUCCUGGGGCUGAAGUAGGUCCCAAGGGUAUGGCUGUUCGCCAUUUAAAGUGGUACGCGAGCUGGGUUUAGAACGUCGUGAGACAGUUCGGUCCCUAUCUGCCGUGGGCGCUGGAGAAUUGAGGGGGGCUGCUCCUAGUACGAGAGGACCGGAGUGGACGCAUCACUGGUGUUCGGGUUGUCAUGCCAAUGGCAUUGCCCGGUAGCUAAAUGCGGAAGAGAUAAGUGCUGAAAGCAUCUAAGCACGAAACUUGCCCCGAGAUGAGUUCUCCCUGAGACUAUAAGUCUCCUGAAGGAACGUUGAAGACGACGACGUUGAUAGGUCGGGUGUGUAAGUGUAGCGAUACAUUGAGCUAACCGAUACUAAUGAACCGUGAGGCUUAACCUU
rnacentral:rRNA from 1 species